UUGUUUUUUACCUUUAUUUUAGCUUUUUCAUAAACAUAGUCGUCUCUGACUAUUAGGUUUUGAGAGAGAAAGAAAUAAAAGCAUCAGAGGUAGAGAAAAGGGGAAAACACUCUUCACACUCAUAAGGGAACGAUGGAGGUGGGAAACUAGAGAAAGAGGAAGUCACACACACUCUAAAAGUUAUGGAUGCUCUCCCUGACGCCAUUCUCCAAUGCAUCUUGUCCCGAAUCACCAAUGCUCGUGACAUACUAUCCUAAAGGAUGUCUUAACUGAUCUUGUCACAUCAUCUUCCAUGGCACCAAUACCUCCAGCACCCCAUUGAUCUGUCCAACUUGGAGCUUUGCUUGCCAUCUUUCCUUGAUGCCAUCACCAUAAAACAACCUUAAACCUUUCUGAUACGAAGAUACAAAAUCUCAACAAAUCAUUACUACAGUGCCUGUGGUGAAAACUUGAGACAGAAAAGCUUAAAGACAGGAGCAAUACCCCCAAAUGGAAUGAUCGAGAUUUUGAUGCAGAAGAAUGGUUGAUGAAAGACUUGAAAUUUAAAAGGACUUGACAACUCACCUAUCUGUUUGAGUACAUGUUAAGAAUUGUGAACGCCUUAUAAGUGUGUCCCCACCAACACCAAAAGAUCUUGUGGAACUUGAAGAUCAAGUAAUGGAAGAUGUUCUGCUACGAUUGCUUCCUUUCUUAACUAAUUUAGUAACGUUGAAAGUUGAAAACUGAGAUUCUGUCAAAGCCAUUUUUGAUGUCAAAUGUACAACAGAAAGCAAAGAUGUGAUAUCUAGAGGAUCAACCCUUUUUCCUUUGAAGAAUUUGACUUUACCCAAUCUGCCAUAUUUGAAGAAUGUUUGGAAUGAAGAUCGUCAUGGAAUUCUUUCUAAGGAUGCACCAUCCUUAGUCAUAUUGUAUUUUAAUUUAAUAUUGAACAUCUUUCUUUUUAAUAUAUGAACCAUUAAUUGUAUAAACAUAUUAACAUGUAGAACAAUGUUAUUUAUUUUAUAUAUAAUAUUUAGUUUUAAUUCAUAU
rnacentral:sRNA from 1 species